rnacentral:rRNA from 1 species
CAAUAAGCGGAGGAAAAGAAACCAACAGGGAUUGCCCUAGUAACGGCGAGUGAAGCGGCAACAGCUCAAAUUUGAAAUCUGGUCCCCUUGCGGGGCCCGAGUUGUAAUUUGCAGAGGAUGCUUUUGGCGAGGUGCCUUCCGAGUUCCCUGGAACGGGACGCCACAGAGGGUGAGAGCCCCGUAUGGUUGGACGCCGAGCCUAUGUAAAGCUCCUUCGACGAGUCGAGUAGUUUGGGAAUGCUGCUCAAAAUGGGAGGUAAACCCCUUCUAAAGCUAAAUACUGGCCAGAGACCGAUAGCGCACAAGUAGAGUGAUCGAAAGAUGAAAAGCACUUUGAAAAGAGAGUUAAAAAGCACGUGAAAUUGUUGAAAGGGAAGCGUUUGCGACCAGACUUGCGCCCGUCGAAUCAACCGUCCCUCGUGGGCGGCGCACUUCGGCGGGCUCAGGCCAGCAUCAGUUCGCUGUAGGGGGAGAAAGGCGGCGGGAAUGUAGCUCCUCGGAGUGUUAUAGCCCGUCACGUAAUACCCCUCGGCGGACUGAGGACCGCGCUUUAUUGCAAGGAUGCUGGCGUAAUGG